GACGAACGCUGGCGGCGUGCUUAACACAUGCAAGUCGAACGGAAAGGCCUUUUCGGAGGUACUCGAGUGGCGAACGGGUGAGUAACACGUGGGUGAUCUGCCCUGCACUCUGGGAUAAGCCUGGGAAACUGGGUCUAAUACCGGAUAGGACCGCACUUUAGUGUGUGUGGUGGAAAGUUUUUUCGGUGUAGGAUGAGCCCGCGGCCUAUCAGCUUGUUGGUGGGGUAAUGGCCUACCAAGGCGGCGACGGGUAGCCGGACUGAGAGGUUGGUCGGCCACAUUGGGACUGAGAUACGGCCCAGACUCCUACGGGAGGCAGCAGUGGGGAAUAUUGCACAAUGGGCGCAAGCCUGAUGCAGCGACGCCGCGUGGGGGACGACGGCCUUCGGGUUGGAAACUCCUUUCGCCAGGGACGAAGCGUUUUGUGACGGUACCUGGAGAAGAAGCACCGGCUAACUACGUG
rnacentral:rRNA from 1 species